rnacentral:rRNA from 1 species
AACGAACGCUGGCGGCAUGCCUAACACAUGCAAGUCGAGCGAGACCUUCGGGUCUAGUGGCGCACGGGUGCGUAACGCGUGGGAACCUGCCCUUAGGUUCGGAAUAACUCCCCGAAAGGGGUGCUAAUACCGGAUAAUGUCUUCGGACCAAAGAUUUAUCGCCUUUGGAUGGGCCCGCGUUGGAUUAGCUAGUUGGUAGGGUAAAAGCCUACCAAGGCGACGAUCCAUAGCUGGUCUGAGAGGAUGAUCAGCCACACUGGGACUGAGACACGGCCCAGACUCCUACGGGAGGCAGCAGUGGGGAAUAUUGGACAAUGGGCGAAAGCCUGAUCCAGCAAUGCCGCGUGAGUGAUGAAGGCCUUAGGGUUGUAAAGCUCUUUUAACCGGGAUGAUAAUGACAGUACCGGGAGAAUAAGCUCCGGCUAACUCCGUG